rnacentral:rRNA from 1 species
UACGUAGGGUGCAAGCGUUGUCCGGAAUUAUUGGGCGUAAAGAGCUCGUAGGCGGUUCGUCACGUCGGCUGUGAAAUCCCGAGGCUCAACCUCGGGUCUGCAGUCGAUACGGGCGGACUUGAGUACUGCAGGGGAGACUGGAAUUCCUGGUGUAGCGGUGAAAUGCGUAGAUAUCAGGAGGAACACCGGUGGCGAAGGCGGGUCUCUGGGCCGAUACUGACGCUGAGGAGCGAAAGCGUGGGGAGCGAACAGG